rnacentral:rRNA from 1 species
AUUGAACGCUGGCGGCAGGCCUAACACAUGCAAGUCGAACGGUAACAGGAAGAAGCUUGCUUCUUUGCUGACGAGUGGCGGACGGGUGAGUAAUGUCGGGGAAACUGCCUGAUGGAGGGGGUUAACUACUGAAAACGGUAGCUAAUACCGCAUAACGUCGCAACACCAAAGAUGGGGACCUUCGGGCCUCUUGCCAUCGGAUGUGCCCAGAUGGGAUUAGCUAGUAGGUGGGGUAACGGCUCACCUAGGCGACGAUCCCUAGCUGGUCUGAGAGGAUGACCAGCCACACUGGAACUGAGACACGGUCCAGACUCCUACGGGAGGCAGCAGUGGGGAAUCUUGCACAAUGGGCGCAAGCCUGAUGCAGCCAUGCCGCGUGUAUGAAGAAGGCCUUCGGGUUGUAAAGUACUUUCAGCGGGGAGGAAGGGAGUAAAGUUAAUCCCUUUGCUCAUUGACGUUACCCGCAGAAGAAGCACCGGCUAACUCCGUG